GCGCCUUAGAUGCAACAGGGAAGGAAGGUCAUGGCGGCGGGUCUUGGAGCUCGUCGGUGAGAUCUAAAUUGGCAGCGCCAGACAGAUAGAAGCGGCUCCCAUGCGUUUAGGUGGAAAGGGGAGUCGAGGGGGAGAUCACGGCCUUGCGGGAGGGGUUGGUUGAGCAUAUAAGGCAUAGAAUCCCGAGAAACUAGGGAUUGGGGCAGGGUCAGCGUCGGGUUCGUGUCCGGCUCGGACACGGCUCAGGGUAGAAGAAGGGGAAAGGGACUGACCGGUGGGGUCGGGUUGGCAGAGAAAGAGAAGGAAGGAGACGCGUUGCUGGGCUGCUGCGCGCUUGGGCCGGCCUGAGGCGAAUUGGGCUGAAGACGAGAAGUGCAGGGCAGGCCGAGAGAGGAGGGGAGAGCGCUGGGCCGCGCAGAAGGGGAAGAGCUGGGCUCCAGAGUAGCCAAGGUUCAGGUUCUUUUUUUUCUCUUUUAUUUUUCUUUUAUUCAAAAGCCAUUUCAAGUCCCUUUUUAAAAUCAGUUUUGAAAUACUUUUGAACUUUACUCAAAGUCACACAGUACAAAAAUAUAAAUGCUCCAGCAUGAGUGCGCAUACAUGUUACUAAACCCUAUGAUAAGUUUUAAUUUACUGAAAAAUAUUAUUCCCCUAUGUUUCAUGAGCACAAAAAUUCAUAAAUAAAUCAUUUUUCACCUAUUUUUAAAAUGAGCAAAAUUUUGUGUGUUACAGUAAUUAAGAAUGUAGUCUGUGGAUUAGGAAAUAUUUCUUUAACAAAUAUACAAAGUAAGAACUUUCAAUAAAUAUACAGAAAACACUAAAUAUAUAACACAUUUUAUAUGGAUAAAAAUUAUGGCAACUAGUAAAAUCAAAACAUGAAGGUCA
rnacentral:lncRNA from 1 species